rnacentral:rRNA from 1 species
AGUCGAGGGGUAUGCUUCUUCGGGAGCAGAGACCGGCGCACGGGUGCGUAACGCGUAUGCAAUCUACCUUUUACAGAGGGAUAGCCCAGAGAAAUUUGGAUUAAUACCUCAUAGUAUUAUGAAAUGGCAUCAUUUUAUAAUUAAAGUCACAACGGUAAAAGAUGAGCAUGCGUCCCAUUAGCUAGUUGGUAAGGUAACGGCUUACCAAGGCUACGAUGGGUAGGGGUCCUGAGAGGGAGAUCCCCCACACUGGUACUGAGACACGGACCAGACUCCUACGGGAGGCAGCAGUGAGGAAUAUUGGACAAUGGGCGCAAGCCUGAUCCAGCCAUGCCGCGUGCAGGAUGACGGUCCUAUGGAUUGUAAACUGCUUUUAUACAGGAAGAAACCCUGGUUCGUGAACCAGCUUGACGGUACUGUAAGAAUAAGGAUCGGCUAACUCCGUGCCAGCAGCCGCGGUAAUACGGAGGAUCCAAGCGUUAUCCGGAAUCAUUGGGUUUAAAGGGUCCGUAGGCGGUUUAAUAAGUCAGUGGUGAAAGCCCAUCGCUCAACGGUGGAACGGCCAUUGAUACUGUUAAACUUGAAUUAUUAGGAAGUAACUAGAAUAUGUAGUGUAGCGGUGAAAUGCUUAGAGAUUACAUGGGAAUACCAAUUGCGAAAGGCAGGUUACUACUAAUAUAUUGACGCUGAUGG